GACGAACCGUGCAAACGUUGUUCGGAUUCACUGGGCUUAAAGGGCGCGUAGGCGGACUGGCAAGUCCGGGGUGAAAUCUUUCGGCUCAACCGGAAAAGUGCCUCGGAAACUGCCAGUCUCGAGGGGGGUAGGGGCCUGUGGAACUUCGGGUGGAGCGGUGAAAUGCGUUGAUAUCCGAAGGAACGCCGGUGGCGAAAGCGACGGGCUGGACCCCUUCUGACGCUGAGGCGCGAAAGCCAGGGGAGCAAACGGG
rnacentral:rRNA from 1 species